rnacentral:rRNA from 1 species
UCCUACGGGAGGCAGCAGUGGGGAAUUUUAGACAAUGGGCGAAAGCCUGAUCCAGCAAUGCCGCGUGUGUGAAGAAGGCCUUCGGGUUGUAAGGCACUUUUGUCCGGAAAGAAAUGGCUCUGGUUAAUACCUGGGGUCGAUGACGGUACCGGAAGAAUAAGGACCGGCUAACUACGUGCCAGCAGCCGCGGUAAUACGUAGGGUCCAAGCGUUAAUCGGAAUUACUGGGCGUAAAGCGUGCGCAGGCGGUUGUGCAAGACCGAUGUGAAAUCCCCGAGCUUAACUUGGGAAUUGCAUUGGUGACUGCACGGCUAGAGUGUGUCAGAGGGGGGUAGAAUUCCACGUGUAGCAGUGAAAUGCGUAGAGAUGUGGAGGAAUACCGAUGGCGAAGGCAGCCCCCUGGGAUAACACUGACGCUCAUGCACGAAAGCGUGGGGAGCAAACAGGAUUAGAUACCCUGGUAGUCCACGCCCUAAACGAUGUCAACUAGUUGUUGGGGAUUCAUUUCCUUAGUAACGUAGCUAACGCGUGAAGUUGACCGCCUGGGGAGUACGGUCGCAAGAUUAAAACUCAAAGGAAUUGACGG